rnacentral:rRNA from 1 species
AUGAACGCUGGCGGCGUGCUUAACACAUGCAAGUCGAACGAUGAAGCUCAGCUUGCUGGGUGGAUUAGUGGCGAACGGGUGAGUAACACGUGAGCAACCUGCCCCUGACUCUGGGAUAAGCGCUGGAAACGGCGUCUAAUACUGGAUAUGUCCCGUCACCGCAUGGUGUGCGGGUGGAAAGAUUUUUCGGUUGGGGAUGGGCUCGCGGCCUAUCAGCUUGUUGGUGAGGUAAUGGCUCACCAAGGCGUCGACGGGUAGCCGGCCUGAGAGGGUGACCGGCCACACUGGGACUGAGACACGGCCCAGACUCCUACGGGAGGCAGCAGUGGGGAAUAUUGCACAAUGGGCGGAAGCCUGAUGCAGCAACGCCGCGUGAGGGAUGACGGCCUUCGGGUUGUAAACCUCUUUUAGCAGGGAAGAAGCGAAAGUGACGGUACCUGCAGAAAAAGCACUGGCUAACUACGUG